UCAGGACGAACGCUGGCGGCGUGCUUAACACAUGCAAGUCGAACGAUGAAGCCCUUCGGGGUGGAUUAGUGGCGAACGGGUGAGUAACACGUGGGCAAUCUGCCCUGCACUCUGGGACAAGCCCUGGAAACGGGGUCUAAUACCGGAUACGAGCCUCCCGGGCAUCUGGGAGGUUGGAAAGCUCCGGCGGUGCAGGAUGAGCCCGCGGCCUAUCAGCUUGUUGGUGAGGUAACGGCUCACCAAGGCGACGACGGGUAGCCGGCCUGAGAGGGCGACCGGCCACACUGGGACUGAGACACGGCCCAGACUCCUACGGGAGGCAGCAGUGGGGAAUAUUGCACAAUGGGCGAAAGCCUGAUGCAGCGACGCCGCGUGAGGGAUGACGGCCUUCGGGUUGUAAACCUCUUUCAGCAGGGAAGAAGCGAGAGUGACGGUACCUGCAGAAGAAGCGCCGGCUAACUACGUGCCAGCAGCCGCGGUAAUACGUAGGGCGCAAGCGUUGUCCGGAAUUAUUGGGCGUAAAGAGCUCGUAGGCGGCUUGUCGCGUCGAUUGUGAAAGCCCGGGGCUUAACUCCGGGUCUGCAGUCGAUACGGGCAGGCUAGAGUGUGGUAGGGGAGAUCGGAAUUCCUGGUGUAGCGGUGAAAUGCGCAGAUAUCAGGAGGAACACCGGUGGCGAAGGCGGAUCUCUGGGCCAUUACUGAC
rnacentral:rRNA from 1 species